UCCUCACGAACCACGGAGCCCCGACGGCUA
rnacentral:piRNA from 1 species